rnacentral:rRNA from 1 species
UUGGAGGGCAAGUCUGGUGCCAGCAGCCGCGGUAAUUCCAGCUCCAAUAGCGUAUAUUAAAGUUGUUGCAGUUAAAAAGCUCGUAGUUGAAUUUCGAGAUCAGUACGCUGGUCGUGCCUUUGGUAUGCACUGGUGUCACUGGUUUCUCCCUUCUGAAGAACUGUCAUGCCAUUCAGUUGGUGUGGCGGGGAAUCAGGACUGUUACUUUGAAAAAAUUAGAGUGUUUAAAGCAGGCUCGCGCUUGAAUACAUUAGCAUGGAAUAAUGAAAUAGGACGUUUGACCCUAUUUUGUUGGUUUCUAGGAUCGACGUAAUGAUUAAUAGGGAUAGUUGGGGGCAUUAGUAUUCAAUUGUCAGAGGUGAAAUUCUUGGAUUUAUUGAAGACUAACUACUGCGAAAGCAUUUGCCAAGGAUGUUUUCAUUAAUCAAGAACGAAAGUUAGGGGAUCGAAGACGAUCAGAUACCGUCGUAGUCUUAACCAUAAACUAUGCCGACUAGGGAUCGGAUGAUGUUAAUUUUUUAAUGACUCAUUCGGCACCUUACGGGAAAC